UCGCUAGUAAUCGCGGAUCAGCAUGCCGCGGUGAAUACGUUCCCGGGCCUUGUACACACCGCCCGUCACACCAUGAGAGUCGGGAACACCCGAAGUCCGUAGCCUAACCGCAAGGAGGGCGCGGCCGAAGGUGGGUUCGAUAAUUGGGGUGAAGUCGUAACAAGGUACC
rnacentral:rRNA from 1 species